GAACGAACGCUGGCGGCAGGCCUAACACAUGCAAGUCGAACGAGAUCUUCGGAUCUAGUGGCGGACGGGUGAGUAACGCGUGGGAACGUGCCCUUCUCUACGGAAUAGUCCUGGGAAACUGGGUUUAAUACCGUAUACGCCUCGGGUAAGGAAUUCGGGUAGGAGUCGCCGCGUUGAUAGUAGUUGGUGGGUAAGUGGCCUACCAAGCCGACCGAUCCAUAGCUGGUUUGAGAGGAUGAUCAGCCACACUGGGACUGAGACACGGCCCAGACUCCUACGGGAGGCAGCAGUGGGGAAUCUUAGACAAUGGGGGCGAACCCUGAUCUAGCCAUGCCGCGUGAGUGACGAAGGCCCUAGGGUCGUAAAGCUCUUUCGCCAGGAUGAUAAUGACAGUACCUGGUAAGAACCCCGGCUAACUCCGUGCCAGCCGCCG
rnacentral:rRNA from 1 species